CUCCAAAUAUUAGAGCGCAUCCCGAAAAGUGUGAAACGGUUUUCGGAAAAGAUGCGCGUCAAAACAAAG
rnacentral:misc_RNA from 1 species